GACGAACGCUGGCGGCGUGCCUAAUACAUGCAAGUCGAGCGGGCUUAGUCGAGUAGCUUGCUAUUUGGAUAAGUCAGCGGCGGACGGGUGAGUAACACGUGGGUAAAUCUGCCUCGUAGUCUGGGAUAACAAGCCGAAAGGUUUGCUAAUACCGGAUGAGUUCAUGUUAUUGCAUAGUGACAUGAAGAAAGGGGAACCCGCUAUGAGAUGAGCCCGCGUCCCAUUAGCUAGUUGGUGGGGUAAAGGCCUACCAAGGCGACGAUGGGUAGCCGGCCUGAGAGGGUGGACGGCCACACUGGGACUGAGACACGGCCCAGACUCCUACGGGGGGCAGCAGUAGGGAAUCUUCGGCAAUGGGCGGAAGCCUGACCGAGCGACGCCGCGUGAGGGGACGAAGGCCUUCGGGUUGUAAACCUCUGUCUGGGGGGACGAGUAAGGACGGUACCCCGGAGGAAGCCCCGGCUAACUACGGGCCAGCACGCCGACGGUAAAAGUACUACUACU
rnacentral:rRNA from 1 species